GAUGAACGCUGGCGGCGUGCCUAAUACAUGCAAGUCGAGCGAACGGACGAGAAGCUUGCUUCUCUGAUGUUAGCGGCGGACGGGUGAGUAACACGUGGAUAACCUACCUAUAAGACUGGGAUAACUUCGGGAAACCGGAGCUAAUACCGGAUGAUAUUUUGAACCGCAUGGUUCAAAAGUGAAAGACGGUCUUGCUGUCACUUAUAGAUGGAUCCGCGCUGCAUUAGCUAGUUGGUAAGGUAACGGAUUACCAAGGCAACGAUGCAUAGCCGACCUGAGAGGGUGAUCGGCCACACUGGAACUGAGACACGGUCCAGACUCCUACGGGAGGCAGCAGUAGGGAAUCUUCCGCAAUGGGCGGAAGCCUGACGGAGCAACGCCGCGUGAGUGAUGAAGGUCUUCGGAUCGUAAAACUCUGUUAUUAGGGAAGAACAUAUGUGUAAGUAACUGUGCACAUCUUGACGGUACCUAAUCAGAAAGCCACGGCUAACUACGUG
rnacentral:rRNA from 1 species